UAUAGUCAACAGUCGCGUAUGGUUCGAUCACGUCACCUUCUCCAACACUUUCGUCUUUUAUUUCAUCUCCCACUCUCAUUUUGUUGUGAAAGUUUUAGUGGCUGUGUUCUUCAUCUUUACCCAUCAACACCAUCAAAGAAAGCAGAGGGCAGAUCAUAAACCAUCACAUCCAUGAGUAGAGAGAUAGAAGUGCAUAAUCAUCAUCUAAAUGGCAGCUUGCCAGCUGAUAUUCCCGAGGAUUUGAGAGAGUUUUUGUCAGAAGUAGAAGGUGUUAGUUUUGAAGAAGCUAUCUUGCAACAGGCAAGCGUUUAUCAAUCAUAUCAAGAAUCUGGUAGGAACAGGGUUGUGGCUACAGAUGAUGAGCAUCAUAUCAGUGACUCGAGUUGUUCUUCAGAAGAUGAAGAUGAAGAUGAUGAUGAUGAUGAGGAUGAGGAUGUAGAUGAAGAUGCAGAUGAAGAUGAAGAUGAUGGUGAAUCCUUAGUGCAUGAAAUUGUUAACUCACAAGAAGUCACUGAUGAAGCUUAUGCUAGAUCCUUACAAGAAUUUGGGGAGGAAUAUGAUGAGUUCAUGAUAACCGAAUUCAGUGGCAGAGCAAGUGGUGUCACAGAAAGUCCUUCGACACAUGUAUCCAGUCCAGAUUCAAGCCAAGAUGACAUUGACCCUGAUAACAUGCGAUAUGAGGAAUUACUAAACCUUAGUGAAACGAUUGGUGUUGAAAGCAUAGGACUAUCCACAGAGCGCCUUUCACUGUUACCAAACUACAUCUACACAUCCGGAAUGUUCUCAAAGAACAAGGAAGAAAGUUGUGUGAUAUGUCAAGAGAAUUUCAAAUUCGGGAAACGCGUGAUAUCGUUGCCUUGUUCUCAUCAGUAUCAUAGUAAAUGCAUCAGCGAGUGGUUGAAGCUCAAGAAGAAUUGUCCUAUUUGUCAAAAGGAGGUGGUAUAAGCCUUUUGAAGGAAUGGUGGAACUUGCAUGAAAAUGAACCAGUAAAAAAAAAAACUGGGACCAUUUCUGCAACAAUCGCGAUAGUUGGACCAAAGGUGUUAUGAACCCAAAGUUGCAGGAUCAAACAUGUAAUUUACGCUAAAAGUAUGAGUUUGAAAUCCGUGGAUGUCAACUAUAUAUAACGGCACCUCAAUCACAACACCAAAUUUAGUGUUAAUUACUCCAUCUCAACAUCAUGUUUGGGUAACUAGUGUUCGUGUAUUAUAUUUAGAGGCAUAGACCUCUAGUCGUAAGGGUGAAAAUCUUGACCUGUUUUUGCAAACCAAAUCGGUACCAAUACCGUACCCUAUACUGUGGUUCGAUAUUUGGUGCUAGAAAUUACCCUAAAAAAUCGGUAUCUUUCGGUUUAGUACCUGUCCUGUCUGGAACCAACCAAUCUGACACCUACGUUCAAAGUAAA